UAAUAAACGAUAGAAUUGCACGGGGUAUAAAUGAAGUUUGGUUCGAAAAACGAUUUGAAGACUCGAAUACCCGGCUGUCUCUCUGCGACCUAAGAGACGAGCCAGCGCAUUAUACUUUCAUAACAUUUUGAUUAUAGAACGACUCUUCGUUAGAUUCACACGACGCGAACGAACGAAUGUCACGAGUGUCUGCCGAGAAAAUCAUCAGCGCUCUCUCUCUCUCUCUCUCUCU